rnacentral:misc_RNA from 1 species
CGAAGCAGUGUGUGUGUGUGUGUGUGUGUGUGUGGUGCACUCUGCACGCAUGCUCUUCGUCCCCGACGUCCCGCCUCCCGCCGACUUGAUUUUCACAAUUUUACCUCGACGCGCUCUUGUAAAUUUCUUGGCAGUGCGUGCGGUUUGGACAACGAUUAUACCGUCUUUCAAUUCUAGUUUUCUAGUCCAGCUACUGCUCAGCAGUAGCAAAGCUGUUCCAAUUUUCCUGUGACAAUGGUACAAAAGAAGAGGUCAGCAGUCACUGCUGAAGAAGAUGGGCCAAAGAAGAGGCGUAAGGACGAUGUAUAUGAAAAGCCUGAAGUAAAAAAGAAGUCAAAAAAGAGCAAAGAGUAUCCUGUAGAAGUCGUUGAGAAAAGAUUGUCUGAUGAUGAUGAUGAUGACGAUUAUGAAGAUGAUGAUCCUGAAGAAAGACAGGAGGACGACAACAAAGCCUCUGUCAAGCCUGAGACUCAUUCUACUCUAUCAAAGGCUGAUAACUAUGGAAUUGGGUGGCCACAAGAAGAUCUGAUAGAGUUGUUCAACAAGAUUGAGGCUAACAUUCCUCCUAAUGAUAAGUCUGUUCAUUCUACUCGGAUUGAAAAUCUGGAUUGGGACGCGGUCGCAUUCAACGAUUAUUCUCCUGCUGAAUGUAAGGCAGUAUGGAUGGAAGUUCAUAAGAGAAUCAGGCAUUUCCGUCUCUUGAGUGAGAUCAUAGCUGACGCUCGCAUAUGGGUUCACAAACCAUGGGUCAGUUUCUACAAAGGAAAGGCUAAACUUCCAAAGCAUCCUGAAUGCCCUCGUCGUCCUCUUGGUACAUUUUUUCUAUAUUGCAAUGCCAAAAAGAGCAAGGUUACAGCCCAAUAUCCUAAUCUUGAUAUGCCUCAAAUUACAUCGAUAUUAGCUCAGAUGUACCACGCUUUACCAAAAAGCAAGAAAGCAAAAUAUGAAAAGAUAGCUGAAGAUCUUAAAAAGGAAUAUGAUGAAAAACUUCGGAUUUUCUAUGAACAGUACCCUGAAGCUGAAAGAGAGGCAAGAGAGGCUAGGAUAGCAGCUAGACAACGAUCUUCUAGUAAUAAAGUGCCCAAACCUCCAAAACACAAUUUGCCUCCAGGGGUGUCAAAGCCAAUUACAGCCAAGAUGAUGUUUAUUAAUGAUUGUUGCGACAAAGUGCGAAACGAGCCCUCCUAUAUUCCCAGUGAAGCAAAGUCUAAAGCAGGUCAAUUGUGGGAAACUCUCUCCGAUAAGAAAAAACUAGUGUGGAUAAAGCGAGCUGUCGAAGAAGAAAAUAAGUUUAUUGAAAAGUUAAAAUUACAUGUGUCUGAGAAUCCUGAGUUUAAGGUGCCGUUAAUAAAAACUGUUUUAAGAAAAGAUGAAUUGGAAUUACUGAGAAGAUCUAAAGGAAUACCACAAAAGCCUGCCAGCUCAGGUUACGUGGUGUACACCCGAGUUAUGCUUCAGCAAUGUCCUGAGCUUAAAGACAAGUUACCAAAAGAACGAAUGAAGGAAAUAUCAUUAAGAUGGAAUGCAUUGCCAGAGGGAGAAAAGGAAGAAUACAAAAAAAUAUACAAACAUGAAAAAGAGCAGUAUGAUAUUGAUAUGGCUGCUUACAUGGAGAGCUUACCUGAAGAUGAACGCAGGGAGUACCUUUUGAAAUCCCAAACCCUGACAGGAGCUCUAAAAUCUAAGAAGAAAGGUGACAGAGCUAAUAAUGGAAAGAUAGCUAAGACCAAAUCCAAGGGAUCUGUGAAGAAAGUGCAAAGACAAUACUUCCCUGGCGAGCCUCAUCAACCACCAUUGAAAGCAUUCGAUUUGUUUGUUGAAUCAUUUGUUUCCGACACAAAACUAUCUGCAACGGAAGCUCCCAGGUUCUGGGAUAUGCUCCCUGCCAAUGACAAGGCCAAAUUUCAAAGGAAACUUUCAGAGCUAAAAGACAAGUACAUUAAAGAAUACAAGAAGUUUUUAAAAUCUUUGAAUGAAGAAGAAGUGGCCAAAUACAAUGAACUGCAGAAACAAAAUAAAAAAAUUGAAGCGUCUGCAAGGGCUAACGAAGCCCAAAGGAGUAGUGCUGAUGAUGAUAGUGAUGAAGGUUCAUCAUCUGAAGAGGAAGACAAUGAUGAGAGCCCAGCGAAUGAUAGUGAUUCAGAUGAGGAUAAUGAAACUGAAAAUAAAAAGUCUGAAUCUUCAAGUGACAGUAGUAGCAGCAGCAGCGAAAGCAGCAGUGACAGUAGCAGUAGUGAUGACUCUGACUCUUCCAGUGACGAUUCUGAUGAUGAAGACAAAAACACACCACAAGCUGUUGUCAAGGAAGAAGAUUCUGACAGUGACAGUAGUGAUGACGACUAAAGUUGCAAAUAUCAUGUCUUCAAAUUUUUUUAACAACUUUUUCAAUUCCCCCUCCCCCCAAAUAAUUUUAGUUUUUCUCUGACUAGGGGUUCUUCCUCCUUGGUACCCUUUUCUCUAUGUGAUUGAUUUAGCAAAGAGAAGCAAAUAUGUCGCAAAAGUAGUAAAGCACUGGUAAUGUACAAAGACAUAGAAUGUGUCAGCAUGCAGAAAUGUGCCAUGGCUUAUGAAAUGAAGUUGCAUUGUUAAAUGUUUUAUGCACAUUCCUGCAGGUAUUGAGAUUGUUCAAUGUAUAAGCUUUAUUCUUAUGUUGUAGUUUUUGUUCUUACGCUCAUUAUUUUUAAAAGAAUCGUACUUGAUGCGAUUUCAUUGAUUUGUUUACAUCAGAAUAUGUUAAGAUAAGCAAAUAAAUUUUUUCGACGUUUUUUCUA